AACAUGGCGGCGCUGAGGAGAGUUUGCAGAGUUACUAUAAACAUUAACUUUUAAGCGAAUAAAAUCCAUCAAUGAGUAAAAUAAACGCAACAAAGUUUCCGUAUUAUAUGAUGUUUAGCACACGUUUGCAGAGACAUGCAAAAUGGUAAACGAUCUUCUCUAUUUAUACUCAUAAACCUGUAAAAACUACUGCCAUUGUAGUUUUGUUUGUUUCUACAUUAUUCGAGUAUCGGACAAUAGACCGCCGCAUGUUUGAAAACCGGAUCAAGUAGGAAUAUCCAGCAUCCGACAUUGAAUAAUACGGGCUAACUGCAUACACGUACAUUAGAGAUUAAACAGUGCUGUAAAUAAGAAGAAUAACUCCAGGUGUUACAAUUGAGACCUGCGUGAUAAAUCAUUGUAAAAUGAUGUUUAUUAAAGAAGAAAGUGAGGACAUGAGUUAUCCAGAACCAUGCUGUUCAAAUGCUAUGAAAGAUGAAGAGACUGAGGAACAAAGAGAGCUGAUGAAAGUGAAAGAGGAAAGUAAGGAACUGAAUGAAGAGGAGAAACAUCAGUAUCAGAAACAUGAUCAUUUAAAAACUGAAGAAAACUCUUUUAGUUGCUUACAGUUGAAAAAGAAACGCUCACAAAAAAGAACUCGAAGAACAAAAACAAAAAAAUCUCUUACCUGCCCUCAUUGUGGAAAGAGAUUCACACAUAAAGGAAACCUUAAUGUCCACAUAAGAAUUCACACUGGAGAGAAGCCUUUCACAUGUCCACAUUGUAUGAAGAGUUUCACAGAAAAAGGCAACCUUUUUAAUCACGUAAGAAUUCACACUGGAGAGAAGCCUUUCACAUGCCCUCAUUGUAUGAAGAGUUUCAAACGUAAAGAAUAUGUUACUAAGCACAUGAGAACUCACACUGGAGAGAGGCCUUUCAUCUGCAAUCAGUGUGGAAAGAGUUAUUUAAAAAAAGAAGAUCUUAAGCGUCACAUGCGAAUUCACACUGGCGAGAAGCCUUUCAAAUGUCAUGAAUGUGGGAAGAGUUUCAUAUGGGCAUAUAGUCUCAAAAACCAUCUGCUCUUUCAUACUGGAGAAAAGUCAUAUAGCUGUGAUCAGUGCUACAAAACAUUUUCUUCAGCAUCACUCUUAAGAACACACCGGACAAUUCAUCCAAUUAAGAAGCCUUACUUGUGUUCACUUUGUGGAAAGAGUUUUUUACAUGUGCAAAAUUUGAAAGAUCAUCAGAACUUGCACACCGGUGUGCGAGAUCAUGUGUGCUCUGAGUGUGGGAAGGCCUUUUACAGAGCUUCUAACUUGGAACGUCACAAAAGAAUCCACACUGGAGAAAAACCUUACAAGUGUUCACAUUGUGGAAAAAGAUUCAGUCAGUCAGGAGCCCUGAAAUCACAUGAGAGAGUGCAUACUGGAGAGAAGCCAUACAAAUGCACUUCAUGUGGUAAGAGCUUUAUAACAUCAGCACACCUGAAAAAACAUGAGAGAGUGCAUACUGGAGAGAAGCCAUACCACUGCACUUCAUGUGGAAAGAGUUUCACACAAUCGAGCACUCUACAGACUCAUAGAAAAAAACAUUGUCACAGUGAGCAAAGUUUAUCUUUAUUCGCUAUGUAAAUGGGAUGAAAUUCAGAAAAAAAAAAGUAUCAAAUCACAUUGCAUUUGGACUUGUGAGCAUUGAUUUAAUUAUUCUGAUAAUGUUUAAAGCUACACUAUGUACAUUUUGGCCCUCUAGCGGUUGAAGCAUAAAACUCCAGGUUACAUGCGGAGGAACAUUAUUUUGGAACUUACGUGAGUUGGUUUUCAGCUAAUCUGAUAGUUUGAGGAGUAACCAUGGUUACAGGUGAUCAUCUUAUCAGAGUGAAUGUCACUAACGACAACAAAACUCACCCUCUCACCUCAAAAAAAUAAAUAACAAAAGGAAGAGAAAGACGGCUAUCUGAAAAUAUGUCUUAUGAGCAGGGUUUUGUGAUGAGCGAGGCGGGGCCAAGCGACGAUGGUGUGGAGCAAGACUGGAAUGGGCACCUGGAGCGAAUUAUCUCGCCCAGCUGUUGGUGAUUGCGUUGUUGGCGGGCAAGAGACAAAGCCAC